CGAGCAGCAGGAAAUCACAGCCUGGCGGGAGUGCUGCAGAGAUGGUCUGAGUAAUUAUCAACGCCUGCAGGUAUGUGGCAGCAAAAAUUGGGAGCCUGUGUGGCCACAGAGGUGAGGAGCCCCUUACCACCACGGCCCACCCAGCUGACCACAGCCAGAACCAAAAUGUAAACACAGUGAUAGCAGAAGCCCCCCCUCGGGUGACGGACGCAGUCACUAGGGACAAGGUGCUCGGCCCUGUACAGCCCUGCGGAUCCUGAGGGUAGAUGGCCUCAGGACCCUCCUUGGAAGCCCUAGACCUUCUUUCUCACUGACUCAGCGAGGGUCUUGGUCUGCUGGGGCUCCUGUUUCCAGGGACUCGGAAAUGUGUGUUCACCAGUAAAUCCAUCUUGCGUUUGCUCUCUAUACAUUUGUAUAACAAUAUGAAUUGUCUUUAUUAACCCAUUGCCACAAGGAUUUCCCAGCGUGAAAGACAAAUUAAGUCCAACACUCAGCACCUGCUAGAACUGCUGCCUGCAAAACUCACUCCAGGCUCUGUACUGGGACUGGGGAGAAUAUGUUACCCUUCUCAGUCUAAUAACAAACCAAAGUCGUCUUCAAUAUGUACAUAGGGCCAAAUUCUGGUCUCAUGUAUACUGGGGAAACUUCAGAGUAACUUCACUGAAGUUAAUAGAGUCAGAUCCUCAGCUGGUAUAAAUUAGUACUGCUCCACUGAUUGGAGCUAUGCUCAUUUGCACCAGCUGAGGAUUUGGACCAGAGUAGCUCUGAAUUUACACUGGUAUAACAGAGAACAGAAUCUGGCCUUUAG
rnacentral:lncRNA from 1 species